rnacentral:misc_RNA from 1 species
AAGUCGUAACAAGGUCUCCGUAGGUGAACCUGCGGAGGGAUCAUUACAGAGUUCGUGCCCUCGCGGGUAGAUCUCCCACCCUUGUGUAUUCUCCACGUUUUGUUGCUUUGGCAGGCCGUUGGGUUCGCCAACCACCGGCUCCCGGGCUGGUGCGUGCCUGCCGGAGGACCUCUCAAACUCGGUUUGUUGGUGUCGUCUGAGUACCAUAACAAUCGUUAAAACUUUCAACAACGGAUCUCUUGGUUCUG